rnacentral:rRNA from 1 species
GACGAACGCUGGCGGCGUGCUUAACACAUGCAAGUCGAACGCUGAAGCCCUUUCGGGGGUGGAUGAGUGGCGAACGGGUGAGUAACACGUGGGUAAUCUGCCCUGUACUUCGGGAUAAGCCUUGGAAACGGGGUCUAAUACCGGAUAGGACCUGUCCUCGCAUGGGGGUGGGUGGAAAGUUCCGGCGGUAUGGGAUGAGCCCGCGGCCUAUCAGCUUGUUGGUGGGGUAGUGGCCUACCAAGGCGACGACGGGUAGCCGGCCUGAGAGGGUGGCCGGUCACACUGGGACUGAGACACGGCCCAGACUCCUACGGGAGGCAGCAGUGGGGAAUCUUGCGCAAUGGGCGAAAGCCUGACGCAGCAACGCCGCGUGGGGGAUGACGGCCUUCGGGUUGUAAACCUCUUUCGACAUCGACGAAGGGGCCCUGUUGUGGGGUUUUGACGGUAGGUGUAGAAGAAGCACCGGCUAACUACGUGCCAGCAGCCGCGGUAA